UACAGAGGGUGCGAGCGUUGUCCGGAAUCACUGGGCGUAAAGGGCGCGUAGGUGGUGGCUUAAGCGUGCGGUGAAAGCUCGGGGCUCAACUCCGAGUCGGCCGUGCGGACUGGGCUCACUGGAGCAUAGUAGAGGCAGGUGGAAUUCCGGGUGUAGCGGUGGAAUGCGUAGAUAUCGAGGAGACACCGGUGGCGAAGGCG
rnacentral:rRNA from 1 species